CCUAAUCACCAUCCAAGCCCAAACAAACAAACCCAUCGCCCUCCGAUGGAAACCUCUCCCAGUCCAGUGCCAACACACUCCCCUCCCCUCCCACGGACUUCUUGCUAGCACUAGAACAGAACAGUAUUUCACCCAAGAUUCACCAACCCCACCCCCACAAUGUAAUAUGUAAUGUAAUCAAUCUAGUACAAGGUCGAUUGAUUGCUCUGCCCUCAAAUCUUCUAGAUUCCUCUCCCCCUUCCCCGAUUUCCUCGUCUUGGAUUGGAUAUAUAUAGAUUGAACCCUUCCCCAUGUGCUCCUCUCACGCCCAAUCUCCUAUGCUUUCUUGAAUUCCGCCGCGGGUCCGGCAAUCAUGAUUUCCGCCGGAAGCCUUAACCCGCUGAUUGCAGGCGUCAAUUAUAGGCGUUCGAAGCUUAGGAUCUGUUGUUCGAAGCAGAAUCCGAAGGGCGCUAUGGAGUUUAGAAGGUCGAGGAAGACGCCGUUGGUGAAUCCGGUUAUCAUUCGGCCGGAGGAAGGAGCCGGUGGCGUUAAGCAUCGAAGGUCGGAGAAAGAGAUGGCGUCGAGGAGAAAAUCCGGAGUGGGGAACAUGGAAAUGAUGGUUCUGUGUGGAGUUGGGUACUAUGUGAAUGGAUUCCGAGGGUUUCCAUGGCUGGCACUGAAUUUCCACAUGGCGCACAAUCUGAACAUGAAUCCGUCCACAUUGCAGCUUGUGCAGAACUCUGGGAAUUUCCCCAUGGUCGCCAAGCCCUUGUAUGGAAUUCUGUCUGAUGCUCUUUACAUUGGUGGCGCUCAUAGAAUUCCUUAUGUUUCCAUUGGAGUUUUGUUGCAGGUUUUAUCUUGGGGAUCAUUGGCCUUGAUUCCGAUAGCUAGCGAAGCGCGCCCGGCUCUUAUGGCGUGCGUUCUUUUGAGCAACCUCGGAGCAUCAAUCCAAGAAGUUGCUAAGGAUGCUCUGGUGGCUGAGUAUGGCCACAAGAACAGAACACCUGGCCUUCAAACCUACGCGUUCAUGGCCUCCGCCAUUGGUGGGGUUCUUGGGAACUUGCUCGGAGGAUUUUUCCUGGCGAAGACGCUCCAAACUAAGACAAUGUUUUUAGCCUUUGCUGCUCUGCUCGGGCUUCAGCUCACUGUCUCUCUAAAAACAAGAGAGGACUCUCUUGGUUUACCUAAACUCUCGACUUCCGGCAUUGUUAGGGAAUCAGUGUCUCAAACCAUCAAGAGGCAGUAUUCAGAACUCAUAUUGGCGAUCAAAGAAGAAAGCAUCUCCCGCCCUCUAAUCUGGGUUGUCUCGUCGAUUGUAUUGAUCCCUAUUUUGUCGGGUUCAAUUUUUUGCUACCAAACUCAGUGUUUGAAUCUGAAUCCUUCGAUCAUUGGGAUGUCGAAAGUCACUGGCCAGCUGAUGCUCCUUUCCUUGGCCAUACUGUACGAUCGAUUUGGGAAAGGCAUACCCCUGAGAAAAUUAGCCGGGACUGUGCAAAUCUUGUAUGCAUUUGCGCUUCUCCUCGAUCUUCUACUGGUCUGGCAGAUUAACACUCAGAUAGGAAUUCCAAACUAUAUUUUUGUGCUGUGUUUCUCGGGAUUAGCAGAGAUCAUCUCACAGUUCAAGGUGUUACCGUUCCAUGUUCUCUUUGCGAGUUUGGCGCCGCCCGGUUGUGAAGGAUCAAUGAUGUCUUUCUUGGCUUCUGCACUGUGUUUGUCGUCCAUAUUUAGUGGAUUUCUUGGCGUCGGAUUGGCUUCAUUCCUCGGAAUAACUUCUGGGAAUUACUCGACUCUCCCUUUGGGGAUCAUGAUACAGUUCGUGGCGGCGCUGUUGCCUCUAUGGUGGAUUAAGUACGUGCCUUUGUGGCAAGCCGUGCCUGAGAAGACGAUGAAGAAAGUUUCCGGGAGGAGUAAAAGAAACAGAAGAAAGCGUAGAGUGGGGAGAUCCAUGCUCGAUUCGUAUUCGCAUUGUCGCGAAAGAGAAACGGAUUUGCAGAGAUGAAGAAGUGUUUUCUUGAGUGAAUCGUCAACAAAUAAGUUGAUGGAUGAUUCGGAUAUGCUUCCUUGGAUGAAGGCAGCUUGUGUUCAUUUCGUCUUCACCAUUGAGGAACCCUCUCGACCCUUCCUUCUUCGCCGCCAAGUGCAGCGCCUCCAAAAAUUCCGACGUCCAUCCGAUGGCGCAGGAAGGUCGCCGCCACGUCAAUCGGACUUUCCGCCGCACAGGCUUCAGCUUCAGCACGCGGCGGCGACCACGGCCGUCAUUAGAUCGGAGAUGCUGUCGCUCCUCAAUCGAAGUCGAGUUCCCGAAGAACAUCGACGGGAUGUGGCAGACUGUCGACUUCAGAGAAAAUUACAAAAAUAUCUCAUACGUAUACCCCAUUAUCACUUUUGUCCUAUAUUUAUUUUGCUGGCAAAAGUACGAUGAGUCCUUGUUCUGCACAAUCAGCAUUUUCUCAUCAACCUCCUUCGUGCGCAUUUUGCCGCGGAACAUGGUAGAGGCGGUUAGGUAUCGGCCAUGGCGAGGAACGGCUGCGCUGGGAAUCGCAGACAGCAUGUCAGACUCAUUUAUUUUAAACACGGGCGUGUUUGAACCAAUUUUAAUACGCCCGUAUUUGUAAAAAUACAAAAUUAUUUUAUUAAAUUGAUACAACACGCCCGUGUUAUGAUUAAUAUGG